ACGAACGCUGGCGGCGUGCUUCACACAUGCCAGUCGAACGGAAAGGCCCUGCUUUUGUGGGGUGCUCGAGUGGCGAACGGGUGAGUAACACGUGAGUAACCUGCCCUUGACUUUGGGAUAACUUCAGGAAACUGGGGCUAAUACCGGAUAGGAGCUCCUGCUGCAUGGUGGGGGUUGGAAAGUUUCGGCGGUUGGGGAUGGACUCGCGGCUUAUCAGCUUGUUGGUGGGGUAGUGGCUUACCAAGGCUUUGACGGGUAGCCGGCCUGAGAGGGUGACCGGCCACAAUGGGACUGAGAUACGGCCCAGACUCCUACGGGAGGCAGCAGUGGGGAAUAUUGCACAAUGGGCGGAAGCCUGAUGCAGCAACGCCGCGUGCGGGAUGACGGCCUUCGGGUUGUAAACCGCUUUCGCCUGUGACGAAGCGUGAGUGACGGUAAUGGGUAAAGAAGCACCGGCUAACUACGUG
rnacentral:rRNA from 1 species